AGAGUUUGAUCCUGGCUCAGGAUGAACGCUAGCGAUAGGCCUAACACAUGCAAGUCGAGGGGCAGCACAUGAGGUAGCAAUACUGAUGGUGGCGACCGGCGCACGGGUGAGUAACGCGUGUGCAACCUGCCUACAACAGGGGAAUAACCCGUUGAAAGACGGACUAAUACCCCAUAAUACAGGGAUCCCGCAUGGGAAUAUUUGUUAAAGAUUUAUCGGUUGUAGAUGGGCAUGCGUUCCAUUAGCUGGUUGGUGAGGUAACGGCUCACCAAGGCAACGAUGGAUAGGGGAACUGAGAGGUUUAUCCCCCACACUGGUACUGAGACACGGACCAGACUCCUACGGGAGGCAGCAGUGAGGAAUAUUGGUCAAUGGACGCAAGUCUGAACCAGCCACGUCGCGUGAAGGAAGACGGCCCUACGGGUUGUAAACUUCUUUUGUAAGGGAAUAAAGUGGGCCACGUGUGGCUUUUUGCAUGUACCUUACGAAUAAGGAUCGGCUAACUCCGUGCCAGCAGCCGCGGUAAUACGGAGGAUCCGAGCGUUAUCCGGAUUUAUUGGGUUUAAAGGGUGCGCAGGCGGGAGAUUAAGUCGGCGGUGAAAUUUUGCAGCUCAACUGUAAAAGUGCCUUCGAAACUGGUUUCCUUGAGUGUAGAUGAAGUAGGCGGAAUUUGUGGUGUAGCGGUGAAAUGCAUAGAUAUCACGAGGAACUCCGAUUGCGCAGGCAGCUUACUAAACUACUACUGACGCUCAGGCACGAAAGGCGUGGGGAUCAAACAGGAUUAGAUACCCUGGUAGUCCACGCAGUAAACGAUGAUUACUAGCUGUUUGCGAUACAAUGUAAGCGGCUGAGCGAAAGCGUUAAGUAAUCCACCUGGGGAGUACGUUCGCAAGAAUGAAACUCAAAUGAAUUGACGG
rnacentral:rRNA from 1 species